GAUGAACGCUGGCGGCGUGCCUAAUACAUGCAAGUCGAGCGAAGCGGGGACGGGUGAGUAACACGUGGAUAACCUCCUAUAAGACUGGGAUAACUUCGGGAAACCGGAGCUAAACCGGAUCCUUAUAGAUGGAUCCGCGCUGCAUUAGCUAGUUGGUCAGGUAACGGCUUACCAAGGCAACGAUGCAUAGCCGACCUGAGAGUGUGAUCGGCCACACGUGAACGGAUACACGGUCCAGACUCCUACGGGAGGCAGCAGUAGGGAGAUUGCGGCAAUGGGCGAAAGCCUGACGGAGCAACGCCGCGUGAUGGAUGAAGGGCUUCGGAUCGUAAAACUCUGUUAUUAGGGAAGCGGGACCUAAUCAGAAAGCCACGGCUAACUACGUGCCAGCAGCCGCGGGAAGAC
rnacentral:rRNA from 1 species